ensembl:lncRNA
CAGGAAGGCCGUGCAAUCAGGGCAGAGCCCACCACGCACCCUGGCCCAGAUGCACUGCAGGGUUCCUCCUGGCUCCGACAGCACGGAGAAGCCCAGGGCCUCAUUCUGCUGCCAGGCCCCGUGCCAGAGCUUCGCACCCCGUAAUCGCUGCUCUCCAUGCAGCAGCUGCAGCCCUCGCUCCGCGCCUGGCUGGCUGGUAAUUUGUAUCGUUAAGCGAGAGUUCGUUCAAAUGGCAUUCCUAAUUAGUACAGCAAUACUAUUAGCAUUGCUAACGCAUUCCAAACGUUUUCAUUAACGCGUCCUGACACCGUGUAAAAGCAGCGCUGGGGAAGAGCCCGGGGUGAGGAAGCCGGGUGAAAAGGCAGCAUCUCUGCCCCAGCACUGCUGGCCCCGAUCAACGGCAACCAGCAGAAGCUGAACUGGGUCAGAUCUGUGCCGCUGCGCGUGCACAAGCACACACACGUGUGUGGUGGGGACUCACAGUGACAGAAGUGACCCAGAGAGGGAAUUUCAGGACAGAAGAAGGAAACUGGUAGAAGGGAGCUGAUGGGGGCAGGGGCAAUAAACCAAAAUGUAAGCUGGAUGAAUUAUUUACUGCGAGAAACAAUGUGGAGUUACUUACUCUGGCUCUUUGCAUCCUAAAUGGGAUCUACAGCGUUUCUCACAUCUCCCCAGCGUGCCGAGUGAUUUUUUUGUUACAAUUGGAUGCAUGAGGCUGGGGCAAUCUUAUAAAGGACUCCAGGAGAUCGGUUUAGCAUUGAUCAUGUGCUGAACGUAAAGGCUUUUCACAUCCAUCUGCUGUUGCUUGUCGAGUGAUAGGUCAGCUGGGACCUGGGCACUCACUGGGCGCCUGCACCCCACGGCUGGGCUGCUGUAGGAGCCUUCUGUGUGAGGGAUGUCCCGACUUCAUGGGACAGAAUAGAAAAAAAAUGACUCUUCCAGGUCUGUAUUUACUCAACAGACCUGGAAAAGCGCUCUCUGAAAGGCAGCCAUCUCAACAUCCACGUGGUCUGGUCUGACAAAGGUAGGGACACCUCUGUAUUCUUGGCAAGCAGGAGAGCAGCUCGCAGUUUGGGAAAUGGGCACUUCCAAGCUGGGAGGUGCUGGCUGCCCUCAGCCCGUGGCUCUGCCAGCAGCUGCUGCACGUACUCUGCAUCCCAGGCUUUCAGAUGGAACAGAAGGAGUUACAGCAAGGAGCAGCAGAGUAAUUGGGAGUUAAUACCAUCCCAUGUUUUUUAUUACACUCAGAGUAUUAAAUUGAUAGCUUGGUACCAGAGGCCAGAAGUGCCAUCUCUCAGCAUGAUGAAAUCUAUGAAGCCCAUGAACAGGAAAAAACGGCGAGAUUUAUAAAGGCAUCCGUAAAAUUAACGUUUGGGUGAGAAUGGGGGAGAGCAGAGAGCAUGAAAUGCAGCAGCAGGCUGUCAGGAACCGGUACCCCUCUGCACCUACAGAGCUGUCAGUCCAGCAGACCGUUGCCUGGGUGCAUCCUCCUGCACUGGUGCUCAGCUGGAUGGGGCCCCAGGGCCUCACUACUGCCAGGAAGGAGGGCCACUAACCCAGACCAGCCGACUCUGCAUUGCACAGCACACACUUCUGCAUGCAGACACCGUGGCACGUCCUACCUGUAUGCGCUCAGCCAUGUGCCAUACGUACUCUGCUGUCUCCAAUGCUCAGUGUAAAUGGAGGCACUGCCACCACUGCCUGCAGUAUGGCUGGUUUGCAAUUAAAGCAAUGAAAUGUUUAUACAGGAAUAAAUCUAUGUUAAUGAGGUGAAUUCCGUUCCUGCCCUGGCAGACUAGGAACUCGGGGAGGAUGGAUAUCUGAUGUGCACUGCUUCCAGCCAGCAGCUAGGCUUGGGAAGGGGAGCAGGGAGGCAAAGGAGAGUAACUCAGGCAGGUGGUUAGUUGUGCUCAGGAGACACCGACAGUUUGAUUUCCAUCUGGUUUCCCCUACAAAGGGGUUAGCAAGAGAGACCAGAACAGUGCCAGGCUUGUUUGUGCUUGGAGGCUGGUUGAGCUGGUUUAUUCCCUGGAAAGUGAAUGGUACCUGGCUCAAAGAAUUAGGAAGAGAACAUGAAAUUCAGGCAGCAACGCUACCAAAGAUUAAGGACAUGCUGCUCCCAGCCCUUCCACCUCAACAGCCUGUUUAAAAAGUCCUUUGCUAGCAGCAGGGGUUGUGCAGGAGGAAAUCCCCAUGCAGGUCAUCCUCAACUCUCCUCUGUUCCUCAGAAACACUGCACUAAUCCCUGUUGCCUGCCUACAUGGGAAACCACGGAGACACAGAAUCCAAUUAGCUUGAAACCCUGCUCUGGCUCCCACACAGCAUCUUCCUUCUAAUAGAGCUGUGAAGCUGCAGAGAUAAAUGGUGCAUUAGGAUUCCAGUGGGAUAUGACAUGCAAGGAUGGCUCUGGAGCUGCAGCAGCAGCCCAGGGAAUGAGUGAGGCUCCAAUGCACCUCUACGAAGCACCCCUCUCUACCUGUGCAUCACACCAGCUCCUCCUCACUUGUCCUGCAGCACCACACGAGCAGAACCCAGGUGCACGUGGUGAAAGCUGAGGACAGAGGCUAUGGCCGUGCCUGCAGCACUCACUCUCCUUUGCACCCACAAUAAAUUAUCUGCUUUGUAGUUUGCAGCAACAACUUAACAGUAUUAAUUUAUUGUGUCCUGUCUUUAACAAACACCAUUAUCAUAUCACCAGCCAGGAUUAUGCAAAUCUAAGGAAAGGAAUUAUUUCUCUCCCCAAAGUCACCUUGAUUUAUCAGCUUCAGCCCAAAAUGGAACAGAAGUUGUUUUAAUAGUUGUUAAACACAUGACCACACCUGAUGGGCUGUGAGAGCCCCGGGUGACAAAAUGCACAUCCAGGUGAGGUGCAGCCCAGCUGGGUGACCCUCAGUAUCCACAGGUGACACAGGGACAGCUCUGUGCUGGCUCCCAUAAUGUCCACUCCAUCAUUUUUUCUUUGCAAGCUCCACAGGUGGCAGAGAAAGAUACAAGGGCAGUGAGCAAACUCAGGUGCAGCACCAUGGCUGCAGGUUGGGGCACUGAACAGCCGUGCUGUGUGGGUCUGAGAGCAGCACAGAGCUGUGUACAGACUGACUGAUGCCUGUGACAUGUGUGCUUCUCACCACAGACAGACAAGCUGCAAGCAGGAAAGAGGAGGAAUGGCCACUGCAGUCACAGCCAAAGAUGUGGGAUGCCACACCUCUGCAUGGCACAGCAAAGCCCCGGGAUCAAGGCUGCUUCUUGUCUCACGAGAAGUCAGUCUCUUUCCUGCUGCAUGUUCAGACUGGUCUCUCCCCCAGCUCCUCACCACCAGUGCUCCUUUCCAGUUGUGCCUGAUGUCCUCUGAUCAUUCCAAGCCUCCUCGCAUGCUGCCCCCUAUCACGCUUUGCCUCUGCUGUCCUUGCAGGGUUGGAAGGAAGCUUGGAAAGGGUUGGCAUCCCAGCCUUGGGAGUCCCAUGGACAAAGCCCUCCCAGUGCAGCCAGCCCUGCCCACAGCCCACUGCAGCACCGUCCCUCUCCACAGACAUGAACGCCUUGCAGACAGACACUGCUCUGCUGAGCGUAGGGACAAGGGAGACCAGAGGCAGGAAAGCAAGUGCAAAGCUACAGCACAGGAGGGAUGCAAUGGCAGAGACAGAAACAGGGAAGGCAAUUCAAUUUUCAGAGGCUGUCCCACCAAUUCAACACAGAGAGACGAUAAGAAACCCAUUUCCAGCGAUAGGCACCCUAAUCCCCAGCCACCCUGCAUUUCCAUUUCUGAGAAGCACCGUUUCCAACAGGGAGGCAUUUUCCCAUCUAGGUUUGCUAGAAGGGACAGUACUGGAUUAAAUACCAAUUUUCCCAGCACUGUUUAACUCCUUCUGCACCUACUCUUGCCACUCAUGUGAGCACUGGACCUCAGGUCAAUUUGUUACUGCUCAAGGUAUGGCUCUCAAACAGAACUGUGGGACAGGAGUCCUGUAGUGAAGCCUACAAAGGCCUUGCAGAACUCCUCCUCUGCACCUGGGAUCUGCCAGGCUGCUGCACUCUGAGAUGCCAGCAUGGUUUAUCCCCAGGUGCUUGCAGCCAACCCUCUGUGCUUCCAUCACGCAGCCCAGUGCUCUCCCUCUGCAGAAACUCUCCGCUUCUCCUUCCUUCCUGACAUUAGGGCUCCUACCACAAUCUAAAUCAGUCCCUCACUGUACUGUUAUUUAUUGGAUCAGAAAUAACGAAUGGCAACAGAAGGGGGCUGGGCCCAGUGCACAGGGAGUGCUGAUGCAGCAGGAGCCAAGGGAGCUGUAUGCUAGGGGGAGAGCCCCCACAACUGGUGGCACGUGAGGGUAAGGGAACAACCAAGGACCAAAUCCCUCUCACACCUUCACCAAUCGAGCUAAGAUUUUUAGCAGAAGCUUCUGUAAGAAACAUCCACGUGACAAAGAAUAGAGAUGAGCACUGCGUGAGCUGCGCCUGUUCUCUGUGCUCCUGAGAAGCACACAGCUACGCUUCCCAUGGAGCCCUGGCUGGUGCCAGUGCAGAUUUAAGGCACAAGAAACAAACACCAAAAACGCUUCAGCCCUGGGGGAAGAGGAGCACCUGCUGGAAAGACAGAGUAAACAUAAGCAUUACCACUCCUCCCCCACGUAAUCUCCCAGCUGUGGAGAGUUUCAUCUGCAUUCAGCAGUAAUCUAAAGCAGGCUCUUUAGCACAGGUGCCCACUACUGUCUGUUAAUGCAAGCAGCAAUGAUAAAGCAAUCACCGGGUCCUGCAAGGCUGAGAAGUUUAAGAGCAAUUAAGAUAGCAGGGAUACUUAUGCUAGAUGGGGUGUCUUGUAGGACAGUUUUGUGUCCCACCAAAGCCCUUUCAGUGCUGGACAGAAUGAGUUCUUGCAUUCGUGCCCUCUAGCUACAUACCCAACUGCAUCCCUCACCAUUCUCAUCCCUUGUUUUCUCUGCCCUUUUCUGGUCUGAUGCCUUCUCCUCCUCUUCUCUGUUUAAAAGAUUCCCUUUGCUUGUUUUUCCAUGGAAGAUGUGGCAGUGGGGAAGGCAGCUAAUCCAAAGGUCAUGUACUGAUGAUGGGAACAAAAGAACAUGCAAUUCCCAGCAAAAACUCACUGCUCUUUGUUCUCUUAUCCUCCAGGACCCACCAACCUGGUGGGACAGCCCCUUGGAAGAACCUCAGUGGGCGAUGACAAUGAGACCGACCCACUUGGGCUAACAUCAAGUAGAGGGGAAAUCAGUCAUUCACGGACCACGGAGUCCUUUUUGCUCUACACAGAGCACUCCGUCUCCUGCACACGCUCUCAGUGGGGAAAGCAGUGGCAGCAAGCUCAGAGAUGAGGACGGUGGUGGUGAGUGGGAUGGCGCUGACGAUCCGUUCUGGAGCCCACAUUUCUAAAGGGAUUUUGAAAAAAAAAUAAAUGUAGGAUGUACAGAAGAAUGACAAAUGUGAUUUGGAGGCUGGAGAAAACACUUGCCAGAGACAGAAUGAAAGAGUUCAGUCUGUUAUCGCACCAAAAAGGGAGCCUGAGAGGUGAUUUGAUUGUAAGCACUUCACAGAGAGAAAAUACUUGGUGUGAAAGAGCUCUUUAACUCUGUGAAGAAAAGAGGCUGGAGCUUGUAGUCAAGCAAGUGCAAAUAGGAGACACGGCGCUGGGCCACGCAACCAGGGAAGUGCCAUCUGCUCUGCCUCCUAGCAUCCUCCGUCCUGUCAUGGAAAAUACAUCAGCUGAGAGAUACCGAGUUCAUUACCGGCUAAAGAAGAUAAUGGCAUUUCUCACUUGGAGUUACACGGGGCCCCCGGAUAGCUGAACAGUCACUUCAGGCCUUACAAUCUCUGAAGCUGGCAGCACGAGGUACAGACAGCACGGUGUGAGGAGGCACUCCACCAUCUGCAGGGAGCUCUCUGAGCCACCGCUCUCAUCUGCCACCUGGGGAUGGACCCGGGAUCAGCGCCUACCUCUGCCCAAACCCACAAUGGACAGCACUACUACAGAGGGUGGUUACUGGGAUGGGCCAGGAUCACCCCUGCUGGGAGGGAGGCUUUCUCCCCCUCUGAGGCUGCUGCAAGGACAAGUAACAAGAAUAUUCCUCCAGGCCCUCUCCCCACACGUGCUCCUUUCUCAUCACACUGCUCCUACCACCCACACCGAAACCCAUCAGACUGCAGUGCAGAACUGCCUCCCUUCCCUGUGCCAACAGCAGGGGAGUGCAGCUGUGGGCUCUGAUAAGAGUGUUAACAGGAAGGGCGAGGCUGCCGAACAUCAAAGAAUACAGAUGUAAGGAGGAAUGAGAGCUUCAAGGGGAAUCCUGCAGGCUGCACCCCGCACAGGUAGGCGGGCAGAUGCUGAGGGGCACUGGCAGAUUGAGGACAGCUGCCUGGAGGGAAACUGGGGAGAAUGUGAGCAGUGCACUUUGUGUCCGGGAAGCCAAAGACCUGUCCGAGGGUAAAAGCUAUGCUGGGUUUGCAGUCUCAGAACCUGGACAACUGUCAGCCAUGCCAGUGCAGUGGCAGCAGUACACCACAUGGCCUUGCCCAGCCCUCCUCUUUCAGGCCUCACUCCAAUGUCACCGUCCCCAUAUUAACAAUUUUGCAAGUCAAGUCCUCCAAAACCACAUUGUUUUUAAACUCACGCUAGCGAAGGGAAUGUCCCUGUGGUAUCUGUGCCACAACAGCAGCCUGAAAUACCUAUCAGGGCAGCACAGGGUUCUGUUGAAGCACCUCAACACUCCUGGCUCUCCAGCUCCUCUUAUGAAGAGAGCUGGGGCAUCUCAGUACACAAGACAUUAAACAUGAGCCAGCAGCAUGCACUGGCAUCCUAACUGCUAGCUACACAGCAGGUGGUAGGUCAAGGGAAGCAAUUAUCCAUCUGUACCCAUAUUUUGUAAACCCUAUGAAGAAUACUGCAUCUAGCUUCCCCCCAGUACAGGAAAAGACAUGGACAAACUGGAGUGAGUUCAGUAGAGAACCAGCAAGGCGUUCAGGGAUUGGGGUAAUUGCUCUGGAAGGAAAAGCACAGGGAGCCAGGUUUGUUCAGCCUGGGGAAGAGAUGGCUUCGGGGGCCCCCACAGCAAUCAGUGCCUACACAGAAGCUACCUGAAAAAAAACAGAACCAGGCUCCUGGCAGUGCUGCCUGCUGAGAGAGCCCAAGAAGCUCCUGCUUGGGCUGGGCUGAUCCAGCUCAUCCCACAGAUGAAGAAUGCAGGGCUGCAGUACCCAGCACCAACCCCAACACCUUCUCCACAGAGAGUUCACUGAAAACUUUCAACAGCUGAGAACAAAGGAGCAGCUCUACACCAACUUCCACACUGAUCGUGUCCAGCAGGCAGGUGGCUCUGCCUCACAUAGGAGAUGCUGAAACACGACAUGAGAAUUACUAGGCUGAGAUCAGGAGAACGGCUCUUGGCACAUUCAUGAGGAUGCCACCAAUUAGUGCAAUUACAGGCCUUGGCUACAUCUUCCUGCUUGUGAUUUUCAUUAACAAUUGCACGGUCGAUUCUGCUACUUUUCACUGGGCAAGCUGCCACAAGGCAGCAGCAGCAGCUCUGCUCCUGGCAAGGUCCUGAGCAGGGCAGGCACUGGGUGCUGCCCCAAGGCCAGGCAGGGCAGCACAGCUCCAGCCAGGCACUCACACAUCCCUGCUCCUGCCAGAAAGACCAUCUGGGAGAGGGAAGCAAAAGCCACCACCACUUUCUUAACCCCUCAGACGCAGCCCUGUUUUGGCUGCACCACCUUUCCUAACGCAAAGCAAGGUGAGCAAUCCUGCCCCUAAGGCCAUUGCCCAUCUACCACUCCUCAGAUAGCUUCAACACCCAGAAUCAAUCAGGUAAGCACAACUGCAUGAAGAGGUGUCAUUUCCAUGCAUGGGGUGCAGACCAGGAGCAAAGAUUCUUCACCACCCUUGGAGUGCAGAGACUUAAGGCUGUGAACAUCAGAACCUCAACACCACAGCGCUGAAAGGGAGAGCCUUGGUGCUGAAGCAGGGGCAAGAAUUUGCAAAGAAUGGCAAAAAUCACAGUUGCAGACAGUAAGAUUGCUGAUGAGACCUUGUUUUCUGGGCAGAGAGUGCAGAGGGGUUUGCAGGGACAAUUCCUCCUUGCCCUCAGGGUGUUUGCUGUGUUGAAAUACCAGCAGGAAGGCAAGCAGCUGUUGUUCAAGUAAAGAGACCUCCUGGGGGGAGGCAGGGAGCAAAAAUCAGCAUCCAUGUAAAUAAACACCUGGCCUUACAGGCAAGGACAGAGCUUGUGGAAGGAGUGCAGCACCUCUGAGAUUCAUUCAGCUUUGCUUCCACUCAUUAAUUAGUUCAAACACCAUCAAUAUUCAAUCACAGCCCUCUAUUUCCUGUGCCUGGCUGUGUGUCAGUGUGUGUGCAGACCUGCACAGACCUCCCCAGCAGGAACACACGUGCACGUUCUCCCCACUUAAGGUGCUGGCAUACCUAUGCUGUCACACACACACGCAGAUCUCCUCAGCACUGCAGUGCUCGUGUGUUCCAGUAUGCCCAACCUUCACAGUCUUCCAUUGGGAAAGAGGCAAACCACAUCGUGCCACACAAUGGCACAGAAGAUGAUGACCUCCCAUCCUCUCAAGCAGCUCCUGACUUCGGGCCGGUGAGAGGAGGGUCUGCACGACCACCUCACUCCUCUAACUGCAUCGACCCAAGUCUGCAACAGCUUCAGGGGCAACAGGAGACCCUGACUACCUCUGUUCCAAAAGGUAUGAGCAACACAUAUAACUGCAGUAAAUGUCAGUGGUCUAUUUGUCACCAAGAAGUCUGUAGGUCAGAAAGGCAAGAUGUUGGACAGUAGGCUGUAGGGCAUCAACCCCUUCGCCUUAAAGAAGAAACAACUCUGGAAGCAACAGACUGCAGAGCCCUGCGGCUCCCAAGAACCUGCACAGGCACAAUUAAAUUUUUAUCUUCCAGCACCAUAUGGGAUGCAAAUCUUUGUGAACAAAGUCACCCUUACCUCGGAUUUGCAGGGACCUGAAAUCCCAGCCCAAGAGCUAUGCAAUAGAAAGAAGCCCAAAGUUCAGUCCAAGGAGAGUGAAAAGUGAAAGGCAAAGAGAAGCUGCGACACUGCUAACAGCCCACAGGCAGAAUGCAUCACUGCCCCCCAGUAUGCAAAAUCAGUAUUGAGUGCUUCACAAAAGAAGAUGGUGCUUACACCUUUCAGUAGGGCAAACAGGGUGAACCCCAGUGGAAGCAUCACAAGCCCCAACUAUUGGAAAAUCCAGCCAGGGACAGAACAAACCAUUCUCACUCCAGGACGUGUCCCACUUGGCACACAGCAUCCCCUGGGGUGCUGCCGGGCCACCAGCACUGCUCCAGGAGCUUUACACGAGGUAGCUGCUCCAUCUGCUGUCUGCUCUAAAGCAAGACAUCAGUGUCCUUUAGAACACGAUGAAAACCGAUCAGCAUUACCAAAAGUUGUCCUCAGAACCAGCUUUUUUUUUUUGCAGAAUAUGCUUCUGAUUGAAGACACCAUGAAUGGCCUCCUGUCUCAAAGCUAACGAGCAAAAUCAAUGGAGUGACAACCAGUCAAGAUGUUUCAGGUUCUCAGAGUAUGAGAAAUUCACUUAAAUGCUCAGCUCCUCUCAAGAGGAAGCCUGCAUCGCUCAACAUUUGGGAAGUGUUCUCACAGUCAUUCCCACCUCAAAAAACCCUAAAAGCUCACACAGCAAACAGAACUGCCAGAGAGGUGAAAAUUCUGCCAGGCAAAGAACAUGAAGAGCUGCUGCCCAACCCCACUUCAGGCUCAGCAUAAAGGAAGUAGACACGUCUUAAAUCCUGCACUAUUCCACCUCCCCAGACAAAAUGUCAGCUCUCACUGACCCAAACCAAUGGGGCAGACAUAAGGCUCCUACAGUGAAACAAUGUACUACGUGUUGUUAGGAUAUGGGGUCUUGCUGGCACAUCAAGGUAGACAAAUCCUUCUCGGCUGGCAAAUAGGACCCCUAAUCCUAGAGGUCAAGCAACCUGUUGAUGAGCAAGUAUUUGUCCAAACCAAUAGGGCAUGCAGUAGCAAGGACACCAUGGGUCUAAGAGAAAGUUCAGAAGAGAAAUGAUCUGUGCUUGCUGAAGCACAGCUACAUAACGUGCAGACAGU